CUAUCUCUCUCCCUCUGCCUCUCCCCCAACUCUCUCUCUCUCUCAAAAUAAAGAAAGAAAAUGUUUUAAAAAAAAAAAGACAAAUGAGGAAAGUGUUAGUGGUAACUAGAGAGAAAAUGAUUCAUUAUGUGGUGGCGGAAAGUCUAGCAACACUCUUGCCUGCAAUAAUGUGGAAAAUAGAAAAUGUACUUCAUGAACUGGGUGUCCUGGCUGAAGAGAGAUCCGGGCAGGGUUAAAGGUCUGGCUUCUUCUUCCUGCUUGCAUUACAAUUUGACAGGAGAGGGAUGAGCUCAAGGAAAAAAAAAAAAAGCUAAAUAUAACGGAGGCAGAAUGCACACAGAUUGAAAAUCCCCUGCCUCUCUAGGUGAAAAGCAGCAUUAAAUUAAGAAUGGCUUCCGGACAAAAAUAAAAUUCAGGGAAUAGUCAGAACAACAUGCUGUAAAGAUGAAACUGAGAUUAUGAUGAUAAAGUCCUUUGUUAAGACCUCAGAGAGAUAUAAAGGAAUGCCUUAGAAAACUGUUGUGUCAAAGAAAAACCAAACAAAAACACAGGACUUUUAAGAAUCCUUGGCAAUUUCAACAGAAGCUGAAUGGUUUAUCGUGAAGACCCUUGUGAACGUGGCCUUUUUUUCCCCUACCUGCAUGAACCACAAUAAGAUUCACAAGAGGCUCGCAAAGAUUUUAAGAAAAUCGUACAAGCAGAACCAUCAUCAAUUUGGACUGAAAGAGAUAAAGUACAAAAAAAAAAAAAAAGGUGUUUGGAUCUCCAAACUUACAUAGACCAAGAAAACUACUUGGUUGCAAAUACGGGCUCCCUUUUUACAGAAAAGGAAGGUCUGGAGGGCAGAACCAAAAGCCACAGUGAAGAGCUGCCAGGCUUGAUCGCUGAUGAAGGGACUGACCGCAUGUGGCCUGCCAGAUUUUAGAAUUGCUUUAGACCCGGGUCUCCUGUAUGCCUCUCAUUCUUCCCUUUUUUGAAUGGGAGUGUCCAUAGCAGCUGUCCCAUGCCUGUGCCGAACAGUGGGUGUGGGGGAAGGGUACAGAUAUCUGGGCCCUUUAAUUCCCAGGCUUUCAGGUAGAGAUGAGCUCAGAGAGGAGAGAUGGAGGAAUGAUGUCUAUCUCUCUGGAGACUGUUGUACACCUGCCUUGGUACUUUGCACACUCCAUUCCCUGUACCCAGGCUUGUCUCCCCUUACUUCCCUGCCUGGUUAACUCCUAUUCAUUCUCCGAGAUCCAGUUCAAAAGCCUCCCUGGUUUCAUCAGUAAAGUUAGUGGCUAGGUUUUCUGUCAUUCUACAGGAAUGAUCUUGGCCUUAUCAUCCUGAACCAAAAUGGUUUCGAUACUCUCUGUCUUCCCCACUGGCCCAUGAGUUCAAGAAUGGUAGGGAUGAUGUUUAAUCACUUUCGGUGUUUAUAGAAACUCAUCGCAAAAUUAAUUCAGGUGCUCAGCACGUGUCUGAUGGUCAACAAACAGGAGGCGUAUGUAUUUAAACAGAGAGCAUACUAACUUCGAGGAGAGAAACUGUGUUAAGAAAACUUAACUUGUGUGCUUCAUAACUGAGGCCCAGAGGCAAGGAAGUCUGGUAAGCGUGGAGCUGUGGUCCUGUCCUGGAGGUCAGUGUCUUUGAUUUGGUGUUUGGAAAAUCUGAAUGUACUUGCCAAGAUGGUAAGAGAGUACAGGGAAGACGUAGAUUUGUUUCUUUGGGGGAAGGCUAGAUACCUUGUUCUCCUUGACAUACAAUCAGUGACUUAUAACUGAGUCUUUUCAGCAUUUAGGAACACAUUACAGAGCAUGAAGAGGGAACCAGGGAUUCUGGAGAUGUGAACAUCAAAUUCCCAGAGACCAUCUCAGACCUAAAAUGCUCUGUUUGGAGAAGCCAACUUGGAAACAAACCAAUGUUAAGCUCUAUGCAACAAGAGACUGGCGGUGUCUUCCUCUGUCCCUGCUGUUCUAUUGAGAUAUAACUGACAUACAUCACUGGUUUUCAGAAGGAUGUGAGGACUAAUGGAAUCAAGGAGCCAAAUUGUGAAGUUCAAUGGGAGGAUCCCUUCUCUCUCCAUGCCGCUCUGGCCCAACACAGCCCUGUGUCACAGAGUGAGCCCUCCGUGACAGCUGGCCCAGGGCCAGCCACAAGAUUGGCAAGGAAUGCAUUUGUGUCAGGGGUGCCUGCCCCAAAGAGCCUGCGGGUUGGCAGAGUAAGAGCCUUCUUGUUUCUUCAGUUGCACAGUCUCCUCCAGCAAAUGAAAAGUUCCUCAAAAGCAGAGAGUUUAUCUUUUGCUUCCUGUGUGUCUGGGCAUCAUGGCGCUGACAUACCUCAGCCCACCAUCUGAUUGGUCUCAUUAUGACAUCAAAUCAUGGACUGUGAGAUCUGCCAGCAACAUUGGAGAUCACCUGGUUCAGUUAUCUCAUCUUUUAGAUGUGAAAUCGAGGCCCCAAAAUGGGAUGUGACUUGUUCAGUAUCACCCAGCUAGUUAAGACCAGAGCUUGGAUCAGGCCCUGAGCCUCCUGACUGUUCUAGACUUUAACAUGGCAUCUCAAGCUUCUCUCCCAUAAUGGUAGGAAGCAUGUGCCUCCCAGCCUGUUUCCAGGAUCUCUGGGAACAGCCAGCCACAAGCCAGAAACUGUUUCAAACUGUGUGUGAAUAUUGCCUUCUCAAGUAUGCAAAUUUUGCCUUCUGCUGCGUAAUAUGUACAUGUUUGUUUCAAUAUACACAUGUUAGAAUUAUGUUGUCUAAUAAGGAAAAUUGGUAGUGAAGGUGUAAUAGGAAAGAGCUGUUUAUUCCUUGGCAUAAUGCUGUAAGCCUUGAAGUCCAAACAAAGUUGUAACUUUGGGUUGAGUGCUUCAGGUUUAAGAAUGGUGGACAUCUUUCUGAGUGUAGUUUUCGGCCCCCUGAAGCUAUGUGAAGGAGAACAGAGGAGGUUUAACAAAGCAUGUGAAAACCAAGAUCCUGUAUUUUUAAAAAAUGAAUUAUUCAACAGCUUUUUUUUGAGAUGUAAUUCACAUCCAUAUAAUUCCUCCAUUUAAAGUGCAUAAUUCGGGGUGCCUGGGUUGCUCAUUUCCUUAAGCAUCCGCUUUCAGCUUGGGUCAUGAUCCUGGGGUCCUGGGAUCAAGCCCCACGUUGGGGAGCCUACUUCUCCUUCUCCCUCUGCUCUCUCUC